CCCCUUGCCAGAGACGGGGAAAGCCUAUAUCCACAGGUGCCGGAGGGGCUUGCCCUUGGCUAUGGCGAUAAACGGCGCGUGGAAUAAGUGUUGUGGACCCGGGGCGGUACCCGGCGUCUCCACCAGUUUUCCCCUGAUGGGGAACAUGGGGACGAAACAGGCUCGACACGCAUGGUAAAGACCCGCCUUUUGCCCGGCAUUGUACCACCGUUAUCGGGCUAAAUCACAAGUGCCAAUGAUAACUCUGAGGUGCUCGCUGUCGCUGCAUAAGCGAUAAGCGCGGUUCGGGAGGGCACCGGGCAACAGAAGCCCUCCCACU
rnacentral:tmRNA from 1 species